rnacentral:rRNA from 1 species
GACGAACGCUGGCGGCGUGCUUAACACAUGCAAGUCGAGCGGUAAGGCCCUUUCGGGGGUACACGAGCGGCGAACGGGUGAGUAACACGUGGGUGACCUGCCCUCAGCUCUGGGAUAAGCCUGGGAAACCGGGUCUAAUACUGGAUAUGACUCCAUGACGCAUGUUGUGGGGUGGAAAGCCUUGUGCGGCUGAGGAUGGGCCCGCGGCCUAUCAGCUUGUUGGUGGGGUGANGGCCUACCAAGGCGACGACGGGUAGCCGGCCUGAGAGGGCGACCGGCCACACUGGGACUGAGACACGGCCCAGACUCCUACGGGAGGCAGCGGUGGGGAAUCUUGCGCAAUGGGCGAAAGCCUGACGCAGCGACGCCGCGUGAGGGAUGACGG